rnacentral:rRNA from 1 species
GUGCCAGCAGCCGCGGUAAUACGUAGGUCCCGAGCGUUGUCCGGAUUUAUUGGGCGUAAAGCGAGCGCAGGCGGUUUGAUAAGUCUGAAGUUAAAGGCUGUGGCUCAACCAUAGUUCGCUUUGGAAACUGUCAAACUUGAGUGCAGAAGGGGAGAGUGGAAUUCCAUGUGUAGCGGUGAAAUGCGUAGAUAUAUGGAGGAACACCGGUGGCGAAAGCGGCUCUCUGGUCUGUAACUGACGCUGAGGCUCGAAAGCGUGGGGAGCGAACAGGAUUAGAUACCCUGGUAGUCCACGCCGUAAACGAUGAGUGCUAGGUGUUGGAUCCUUUCCGGGAUUCAGUGCCGCAGCUAACGCAUUAAGCACUCCGCCUGGGGAGUACGACCGCAAGGUUGAAACUCAAAGGAAUUGACGGUCGACGCGGCCG